UCAACUUAAAUCAUAACUUGAUGAUAUAAAUUGAAAAGAGUCAAACACAACUUAUGACUGAACUUAGAAAUUAUCUAAGCUGCCUACGUACCCUUUUGAAAGGGAUCAAGUCAAAACGUAGUUCAUAGGAUCAACAGGUGUUUGAGAUUGGGUGCCGUGCACAGUUUAUACUCAUGCGGGCCAGGAGUAACAUGCAGUUUAGGCUCGUGCGUCAAGGAGCUGUCUUCAUACACUCCAUUUUGUUGCUUUUCUUCAUCUGACUCAUUUUUUGGCUUUUCUGUUUUUCUAUUUUUUUUUUUGGCUUUUCUAUUUUUUUUUUUUUUCUUUUUUUUUUUUUUUUUUUUUUUUUUUUUUUUUUUUUUUUUUGAACUAUAUACAUAUGUACAUGCUUCAACUUCUACCACCCUUCAAGGAUAGUAGUACUUCAAGAACUUUCCGUUGAGAGUGAUAACAAUUGGCCUCCUUGCAGCGAGGGUCAUGUCUCCAAUUUGAAAAGAGGGCGCUCGCACUGCUUUGUUGAAGGAUCUUGAAGGAAGAGCUUGAUAGUAUUCCAAUUUUUGCUGGACUUCUAGUCUCUCUUCAUCCAGAGUUUCCAGUUCUUUGGGGCUUAAGUGCGAAUUCUCUUCUCCAACGACCAUUUUCUCGCAGGAGGUGAUAUGGUUUGCUGUGACAUCGUCUUCAUCUUUUCGGCGAGGAUCUUUGCAAUCAAAACACGUCAUUAUGCUUUCAUUUCUCUGGCGUAUGAAGGCUAUAUUCUCUGCAACGCUUGUUGUGAUAACGCCACUUCUAACGAGACUUGCAAUUUCACGACGCACUUGACUUUGAGUAGUAUGAGGAAGAGGAACUGG
rnacentral:lncRNA from 1 species